rnacentral:misc_RNA from 1 species
GUACCUUCAAGCUUUGCUUGGUGUUGGGUGUUUUGUCCUUUUCUUGCAAAUGGACUCGCCUUAAAGUAAUUGGCAGCCAGUGUUUUGGUUUUGAAGCGCAGCACAAGUCGCGAUUCAAGCCGGUAACACCAGCUUCCAUCAAGCCUUUUAUCAC